rnacentral:tRNA from 10 species
GGCUCCGUGGUCAAGCGGUUAAGACAUCGCCCUUUCACGGCGGUAACACGGGUUCAAUUCCCGUCGGAGUCA